UCCGUGGUGGCUCAGAUGGUAAAGCGUCUGCCUGCAAUGCGGGAGACCCGGGUUCGAUCCCUGGGUUGGGAA
rnacentral:tRNA from 1 species